rnacentral:rRNA from 1 species
AACUCCGAUUGCGAAGGCAGCGUACCGGCGCCACACUGACGCUGAGGCACGAAAGCGUGGGGAUCGAACAGGAUUAGAUACCCUGGUAGUCCACGCAGUAAACGAUGAAUGCUGGUUGUCCGGGUCGAAUGAGACCUGGGCGGCGAAGCGAAAGCGAUAAGCAUUCCACCUGGGGAGUACGCCGGCAACGGUGAAACUCAAAGGAAUUGACGGGGGCCCGCACAAGCGGAGGAACAUGUGGUUUAAUUCGAUGAUACGCGAGGAACCUUACCCGGGCUCAAACGGGAGCGGAAUGGACCAGAGACGGUUCAGCCUACGGGCCGCUUCCGAGGUGCUGCAUGGUUGUCGUCAGCUCGUGCCGUGAGGUGUCGGCUUAAGUGCCAUAACGAGCGCAACCCCCGCCGGCAGUUGCUAACGGGCAAUGCCGAGGACUCUGCCGGGACUGCCGCCGCAAGGCGAGAGGAAGGCGGGGAUGACGUCAAAUCAGCACGGCCCUUGCGUCCGGGGCGACACACGUGUUACAAUGGGCGGUACAGCGGGAAGCCAGGCGGCGACGCCGAGCGGAACCCGAAAGCCGUUCUCAGUUCGGAUCGGAGUCUGCAACCCGACUCCGUGAAGCUGGAUUCGCUAGUAAUCGCGCAUCAGCCAUGGCGCGGUGAAUACGUUCCCGGGCCUUGUACACACCGCCCGUCAAGCCAUGGGAGCCGGGGGUGCUUGAAGUGCGUCGCCGCGAGGCGCGCCCUAGAGCAAAACCGGUGACUGGGGCUAAGUCGUAACAAGGUAACCGUAA